rnacentral:lncRNA from 7 species
AUGUGGGGUGGGGGGGGGGCUAUGGGGUCUAUGGGGUCUAUGGGGUCUAUGGGGUCUAUGGGGGAGUCUAUGGGGUCUAUGGGGUCUAUGGGGGGGUCUAUGGGGUCUAUGGGGUCUAUGGGGUUUAGGGUCGGGUAUGGGGUGGGGGAUGGGGUAGGGGAUGGAUGGGGUGGAUGGGGUAUAGGGUCGGGUAUGGGGUGUAUGGGGUGGCAAUGGGGGCAGAUGUGGGGUGGGGAAGGUCUAUGGGGUCUAUGGGGUCUAUGGGGUCAGGUGUGGGGUGGAUGGGGUAUAGGGUCGGGUAUGGGGUGGAUUGGGUGGGAAUGGGGGCGGCUGUGGGGUGGGGGGGGUCUAUGGGGUCUAUGGGGUCUAUGGGGUAUAGGGUCGGGUAUGGGGUGGAUGGGGUGGAUGGGGUAUAGGGGCGGCUAUGGGGUGGAUGGGGUGGGAAUGGGGGCGGCUGUGGGUGGGGGGGGCUAUGGGGUCUAUAGGGUCGAUGGGGUCUAUGGGGUAUAGGGUCAGGUAUGGGGUGGGAGGUGGAUGGGGUGGAUGGGGUAUAGGGGCGGCUAUGGGGUGUGGGGGGUGUAUGGGGUAUAGGGUUGGGUAUAGGGUCAGAUAUGGGGUGUAUGGGGGGUGUAUGGGGUGUAUGGGGCGGCAAUGGGGGCAGAUGUGGGGUGGGGGGGGUCUAUGGGGUCCAUGGGGUAUAGGGUCGGGUAUGGGGUGUGGGGUGGAUGGGUUAUAGGGUCGGGUAUGGGGUGGAGGGUGGAUGGGGUGGCAAUGGGGGCGGCUGUGGGGUGCAGGGGGUCUAUGGGGUCUAUGGGGUCAGGUGUGGGGUCUAUGGGGUAUAGGGUCGGGUAUGGGGUGGAUGGGGUGGAUGGGGUAUAGGGGCGGCUAUGGGGUGGGGGGUGGAUGGGGUGGGAAUGGGGGCGGAUGUGGGGUGUAGGGGGGGCUAUGGGGUCUAUGGGGUAUAGGGUCGGGUAUGGGGUGGAUGGGGCAGCAAUGGGGGCAGAUGUGGGGUGGGGGGGGUCUAUGGGGUCUAUGGGGUCAGGUGUGGGGUGUAUGGGGUAUAGCAUCAGGUAUGGGGUGUGGGGUGGAUGGGGAGGCAGUGGGGGCGGAUGUGGAGUGGCGGGGGGUCUAUGGGGUCUAUGGGGUAUAGGGUUGGGUAUGGGGUAGGGGGUGGAUGGGGUGGAUGGGGAAUAGGGUCAGGUAUGGGGUGUAUGGGGUGUGUGGGGGGUAUAGGGCAGCAAUGGGGGCGGCUGUGAAGUGGGGGGGUAUGGGGUAUAGGUAGGGGUAUGGGGUGUGGGGUGCAUGGGGUGGGAAUGGGGGCGGAUGUGGGGUGGGGGGGUCUAUGGGGUCUAUGGGGUAUAGGGUCAGGUAUGGGGUGGGGGGUGGAUGGGGUGGAUGGGGUAUAGGGGCGGCUAUGGGGUGGGGGGCGUGGAUGGGGUGGAUGGGGUAUGGGGUCUGUGGGGGUCUAUGGGUGUCUAUGGGGUCGAUGGGGUAUAGGGUCGGCUUUGGGGUGGGGAGUGGAUGGGGUGGAUGGGGUAUAGGGUGGGCUAUGGGGUGGUGGGUGGAUGGGGUAUAGGGUUGGGUAUGGGGUGUGUGGGGUGGAUGGGGUGAAUGGGGUAUAGGGUCAGGUAUGGGGUGGAGGGUGGAUGGGGUGGCAAUGGCAGCGGCUGUGGGGUGGGGGGGAUCUAUGGGGUCUAUGGGGUAUAGGGCAGGUAUAGGGUGGGUGGGGUAUGGGGUGUAUGGGGGCAAGUGUGGGGUAUAUGGGGUGGGAAUGGGGGCGGCUGUGGGGUGGGGGGGGGUCUAUGGGGUCUAUGGGGUAUAGGGUCGGAUAUGGGGUGCGGGGUGUAUGGGGUAUAGGGUCGGGUAUGGGGUGUGGGUGGAUGGGGUGGAUGGGGUGUAGCUCACUGUGCCCCAUAGAAACCCCAUAGAGCCCCACUGUGCCCCAUAGAGCCCCACUGUGUCCCAGAGAAACCCCCAUAGAGCGCCAUAGAAACCCCAUAGAAACCCCAAAGCGCCCCAUAGAGCCCCACUGUGCCCCAUAGAAACCCCAUAGAGUUCCACUGGACCCCAUGGAAACCCCAUAGCGCCCCAUAGAGCCCCACAGCGCCCCAUAGAAACCCCACAGAGCCCCAAAGAAACCCCAUAGAGCCCAACCGUGCUCCAUACAAACCCCAUAGAGCCCCUUAGCGCCCCAUAGAAACCCCAUAGUGCCCUAUAGAAACACCAGAGAGCUCCACUGUGCCCCAUAGAAACCCCACAGCGCCCCAUAGCGCCCCACUGUGCCCCAUAAAAACCCCAUAUAGCCCCAUAGAUCCCCAUAGAAACCCCAUAGAGCCACAUAGAAACCCCACAGUGCCCCAUAAUGCCCCUUAGAAACCCCACAGUGGCCCAUAGAGCCCCACUGUGCCCCAGAGAAACCCCACAGCGCCCCACAGAACCCCACAGCGCCCCAUAAUGCCCCACUGUGCCCCAUAGAAACCCCAUAGCGCCCCAUAGAGCCCCAUAGAAACCCCAAGCGCCCCAUAGAGCCCCACUGUGCCCCAGAGGGCCCCAUAGAAACCCCAUAGAGCCCCAUAGAAACCCCACAGAGCCCCACUGUGCCCCACAGAAGCCCCAUAGAGCCCCAUAGCGCCCCAUAAUGCCACAUAGAAAACCCACAGCGCCCCAUAGAGCCCCACUGUGCCCCACAGGGCCUCACAGAAACCCCAUAGAGCCCCACUGUGCCCCAUAGAAAUCCCCAUAGAGCCCCAUAGAAACCCCAUAGAGCCCCACUUUGCCCCAUUGAAACCCCAUAGAGCUCCACUGGACCCCAUGGAAACCCCAUAGCGACCCAUAGAGCCCCACAGCGCCACAUAGAGCCAUAUAGAAACCCCAUAGAGUUCCACUGGACCCCAUAGAAACCCCACAGUCCCCCUUAGAGCCCCACUGUGCCCCAUAGCGACCCCACAGCACCCCACUCUGCCCCAUAGAAAUCCCAUAGAGUUCCACUGGACCCCAUAGAAACCCCAUAGAGCC